GAACGCUAGCUACAGGCUUAACACAUGCAAGUCGAGGGGCAGCAUGGUCUUAGCUUGCUAAGGCCGAUGGCGACCGGCGCACGGGUGAGUAACGCGUAUCCAACCUGCCUUACACUCUUGGACAGCCUUCUGAAAGGGAGAUUAAUACAAGAUGUUAUCAUGAGUAAGCAUUUUCGCAUGAUUAAAGGUUUACCGGUGUAAGAUGGGGAUGCGUUCCAUUAGAUAGUAGGCGGGGUAACGGCCCACCUAGUCUUCGAUGGAUAGGGGUUCUGAGAGGAAGGUCCCCCACAUUGGAACUGAGACACGGUCCAAACUCCUACGGGAGGCAGCAGUGAGGAAUAUUGGUCAAUGGACGAGAGUCUGAACCAGCCAAGUAGCGUGAAGGAUGAAGGUUCUAUGGAUUGUAAACUUCUUUUAUACGGGAAUAAACGGAUCCACGUGUGGAUUUUUGCAUGUACCGUAUGAAUAAGGAUCGGCUAACUCCGUGCCAGCAGCCGCGGUAAUACGGAGGAUCCGAGCGUUAUCCGGAUUUAUUGGGUUUAAAGGGAGCGUAGAUGGGUUGUUAAGUCAGUUGUGAAAGUUUGCGGCUCAACCGUAAAAUUGCAAUUGAUACUGGCAGUCUUGAGUACAGUUGAGGUAGGCGGAAUUCGUGGUGUAGCGGUGAAAUGCUUAGAUAUCACGAAGAACUCCGAUUGCGAAGGCAGCUUACUAACCUGUAACUGACAUUGAUGCUCGAAAGUGUGGGUAUCAAACAGGAUUAGAUACCCUGGUAGUCCACACGGUAAACGAUGAAUACUCGCUGUAGGCGAUAUACAGUCUGCGGCCAAGCGAAAGCAUUAAGUAUUCCACCUGGGGAGUACGCCGGCAACGGUGAAACUCAAAGGAAUUGACGGGGGCCCGCACAAGCGGAGGGACAUGUGGUUUAAUUCGAUGAUACGCGAGGAACCUUACCCGGGCUUAAAUUGCAACCGAAUAUGGCGGAAACGCUAUAGCUAGCAAUAGCGGUUGUGAAGGUGCUGCAUGGUUGUCGUCAGCUCGUGCCGUGAGGUGUCGGCUUAAGUGCCAUAACGAGCGCAACCCUUGCCGAUAGUUACUAACAGGUCAUGCUGAGGACUCUGUCGGGACUGCCAUCGUAAGAUGUGAGGAAGGUGGGGAUGACGUCAAAUCAGCACGGCCCUUACGUCCGGGGCUACACACGUGUUACAAUGGGGGGUACAGAGGGCUGCUACCACGCAAGUGGAUGCCAAUCCCAAAAACCUCUCUCAGUUCGGAUUGAAGUCUGCAACCCGACUUCAUGAAGCUGGAUUCGCUAGUAAUCGCGCAUCAGCCACGGCGCGGUGAAUACGUUCCCGGGCCUUGUACACACCGCCCGUCAAGCCAUGGGAGCCGGGGGUACCUGAAGUGCGUAACCGCAAGGAGCGCCCUAGGGUAAAACUGGUGACUGGGGC
rnacentral:rRNA from 1 species